GGGCACUCCUCUGAACCUGGCUGGCCUCUUCCGUGGCCACUCAAAGGUGGAGAGCAGUGCAAGAUCAAGUCAUGUCUUGUCAUAACUGGGGUUUCUUGGCUUUUAUUUCACCAAGUCUCUCUUUUAAAGCAAGACACAGAC
ensembl:snoRNA